CUUAGCUGUCUUAGCACAAUAGCGACAUGUCUAGAAGCAAGCAGAGAGGUACGAGGAGUACCUUCGCAAUACAGAUAAUAUGCUAAGACGUGUCAGAUUAGAGUUGAUUGAGACUCUCAUAAAUGAAGAAUUGUCUUCACGGGUACCGCUACGCAAAUCUAGGCAAACUGGCCGAGGUCAACGAACGAUGCAUGCAGUUCUCGUGAUGAUGAUAUGCCACAUCUAGAUCUUGAUUCAGGUUCGCACUUGACGAAGUUCACUUUGAUGAACCACUUGGUGAUGGAACUGACGCUGAUCUUUCCCACACUGAAGUUCCUGAAAGAAAGGAAUUUUUAUAAUGAUAUAGAUGAUUGAUGUGAGGAUUUGGAAGACUCCAGCAGUGGUUUUGAGUUCAUUUCUAGCAGUGAGGCUGGAAGAGACGAUGUACCUGACUGUUACAAUACUGAGACAUCAAAUUGUAUGGAAAAUGAUGCUUCUGAUGAACACCUUUUCCUUGUUGUCCUUUUAAGUUUAACACUAGAUGAAAGUACAGUUUUGCUUAUUUGCUUUAUUGCUCGUCACAAACUGUCAAUGAAGGCUGUUGGAGAUUUGCUAGAGCUAAUGUGUUUGCACAUUUUCCUGAAGGCCAUUUUGCUAUGCCAUCACUUUAUCGUCUCAAAUCCUACUGGAAAAGGAAGCACCAUCAACACCAGUACACAAAAUAUUAUGUCUGCUCAAACUGUGAAACUCUUUUGGGCAAAUCUGCUGUAUCAUACCCCAACUCUGUUUGUGUUAAUGCUAGGGCAUCAUUAUUUGAAUUUCUAGUUUUGAAUGUAGUAUCUGCUCUUGGCAAACUUUUCAAAGGAUUACUUAAUGUUGUUUAUUGUUGCAUUGUGUAGCAUGUUGUAGUUGAUUGAUUUGUAUUUUAGAUCCUACAUUUUGCGUUGAAAUCUUGGGAAACUAGAAGUAAAGUAUCUGACAUUACUAGUGGUUCUAUGUACCAGACAAUUCUCAGGUCAGGGUAUUACCACUGACCGUGGAAUGUGAAAAUGACUCUGAAUACCGACGGUGUAUUGGUAUUUAAGACAUCUCAGGCUGGUUCACUGUGGCCAGUGUAUCUCACCAUCAAUAAACUUCCUUCAAAAUAUCGAUACUCACUCAAGUAUACACUUCUUUGUGGUCUUUGGUUCCAGCCCCAGAAGCCGCCAGUUCAAGCUUUUUUUGGGACCAGUUCUGGAACGGCUCAACUGUUUGGCAACUGAAGGCGUCACAAUUCAAACUGCAGAAGGAACCAAACAAUGUCAGGCCAGACUUGUGCUAGUUAUAUGUGAUCUCCCAGCCAGAGCCAUGGUUAAGUACAUGAUUCAGCACAAUGGCAAGUAUACUUGCCUCUAUUGUUAUCAUCAAGGUGUCACUGUCGGAGAGGACCACCUUCAUCGUUACUGACCUUACGAUUGCAAUGCAAGACUAAGAAGUCAUGAAUCUAUAAAACAAGACAGUGGGAGGCAGUUGAACAACAAACACCAUGCAGAGGUGUAUUUGACAUAGCCUCUCGGCUGUUAGCUGCAAGGGAAUUUGAUCUUGUUCAGAGCAUUGAAAUUGAUUAGAUUCAUGACGAUGUAGUUUGUCUUGGUGUGAUCCAAUCACUGCUAAAGAAGUGACUAAAUGACAAGUUCAAGCUCUACUAUGUUGGAGAUAAAGUAGCAUUUUGGAACAGACGUUUGCUGUCUAUACACCCACUGUUUGCAAUCAUUUACAUGCCUCAAAAUCUGAAAGAAGUCCCAUUGUGAAAAGCAAAUGAGUUGCGGGCAUUUUUAUUUCAUUGAUCACUUUCUGUACUUCCUGGUGUGUUAGACAUUAAAGUGCUACAUACACACUACUCUUUGUUUGUAGUGUUAUGUCGUUUACUUUGUGCAACUGUGUUGACUCAUAACCACAUUACUCUGGCUUGACAUUACUUGUUGAAGCUUUAUCAACUACAAGAACUUUAUGGAACAGAAUCAUUGGCUAUGAAAAUGCAUCUUCUUCGGCACCUUCCUGACACUGUUGAGAAAUGGGGUUCAUUAUCGUUGUAUUCAUGUUUCAGGUAUGAGUCUCUCAACGGUACCCUGAAACAUUUUAUACAUGGGACACGCUGUGUCUUCAGUCGAGUACUGUACAUGUCACUUGUAUUUAUAUCUAAUUUUUUGUGAUAGUUACUCUUAUUUUUCUGCAAGGUGGCAACAGCUGUUGGAACGAUGCAAACAAUGCCAGAUAUUUUGACAAGCUAUUGUUACUGAGGUUUGCUGUGGUUGGCUGAAAUCAAUUGAUAAUAAGUGUCAAUGUGUCUCUGCAAAGACAAUUGUCAUAGCAACUGCACAAUGGCAGUGAACAGAAUUGUGUGGCAAUUAAACUAUAUGCCAUGAUAAUUCUUAGUAAAAUUUAUUGAAA